AAGUCGUAACAAGGUUUCCGUAGGUGAACCUGCGGAAGGAUCAUUACCACGUAUCCACGUAUCCACCCUUCGUGCACCGUUAUUCCCUCCCUGUCCAGCCACAUGCAUUGAGAACUCAGUCGCGCAUUGAAUGGGACCUGCUGAUUCAUUUCUCAGGCCGGCGCGGCGAGAACAGUUGGUCUUAUGGAUUUAUUUCUGUUUGGCCUAUCAAUGGUAGUGGAGAGACAGGCUUAAUAUUUCUACUGCGUCGCUCUCCAUUCAAGAGCGGUGUAGUAGGGAGCCACUUAUCACAUAUUUCACCCCCUUUUUGCUAGUUGACUUUUUUAAUGUUGGGCAUUGGAGUUCAUUCUUCUCUACUCACACGUUUCUUAAUUGAACGAAAAAAAUACAACUCUUAGCAAUGGAUAUCUAGGUUCUC
rnacentral:misc_RNA from 1 species